rnacentral:rRNA from 1 species
CGCGUGUGUGAAGAAGGCCUUCGGGUUGUAAAGCACUUUCAGUCGGGAGGAAGGUGUUGAAGCUAAUAUCUGCAUUAUUUGACGUUACCGACAGAAGAAGCACCGGCUAACUCCGUGCCAGCAGCCGCGGUAAUACGGAGGGUGCGAGCGUUAAUCGGAAUUACUGGGCGUAAAGCGCAUGCAGGUGGUUUGUUAAGUUAGAUGUGAAAGCCCGGGGCUCAACCUGGGAAUAGCAUUUGAGACUGGUCGACUAGAGUCUUGUAGAGGGGGGUAGAAUUUCAUGUGUAGCGGUGAAAUGCGUAGAGAUCUGGAGGAAUACCGGUGGCGAAGGCGGCCCCCUGGACAAUACUGACGCUCAGAUGCGAAAGCGUGGGGAGCAAACAGGAUUAGAUACCCUGGUAUUCCACGCCGUAAACGAUGUCUACUUGGAGGUUGUGCCCUUGAGCCGUGGCUUUUCGGGAGCUACCCCCCCCCAAUAGACCGCCUGGGGGAGUACGGUCGCAAGGAUUAAAACUCAAAUGAAUUUGACGGGGGCCCGCACAAGCGGUGGAGCAUGUGGGUUUUAAUUUCGAUGCAACGCGAAGAACCUUACCUACUCUUGACAUCCAGAGACUUUCCAGAGAUGCUUUGGUUGCCUUUCGGGAACUUCUGAUACGGUGCUGCAUGGCUGUC